CGUCCCGAGCUUCCAUCCCUCAGUCGGCCCCUCCUCCCUUCGUCAGCCUCUGCUCUCUCUGUUGCGUGCAUGUCGGAUGCUUCGCCUGCCCCGGAGCCCCUUUCCACGGAGGACUGCCACCCACCCGCAUCCAGAAGCAGAUUCUACAGGAGCUGACUUCUCCGUGGUGAAUUUCACCCCAGCCUCACCUCACACAGUGAGCUAGGAGUGUGUGGUCAGUGUCCUGAAGCCCUGGAAAGACUGAUGGCCCCUUGCUGGGGAGGAUGAAGAGGACUCAAGGGUCACACAGGAGAGUUGGAUUUAAGCCCCUUCAGGCAUAUUUGCUCAAGGAGAUGGAUGGACGGUUGGAAGAGGGGCUACAACUGGGACAGACACAUGAGACGGUGCCCUUGUCCUUGCUGCUCAGAACUGCUCUGGUUUGGAUGCUACGUGAUGUGGUCACCUUGGCUGCUGGGCCCUGUGCCAGAGGAGCACCUGGGCACGGGCUGCUCCGUCGGGAGAAUCUUUUCAGUGGUGAAACGGAGGCAGGGAGAGAAGUGACAUGUGCACUGCACACCAGAAGUCAGAGGGCUACUCUUGCCAGGUGGUUAAUAGUGUGGCUCUUGGGUUCUAAUGGUUUUGCAACCAAAAUUACUGGACAGGUCAUAUAAUAUUGUUGGACCUCUACCUCCUUAUUUAUUUGACGUGGGUAAUAAUGCCUUCUUUAUAGGGCUGAAUGGAUAAUGGUGAAUAGCAUGAGUU